UACGAAGGGGGCUAGCGUUGCUCGGAAUCACUGGGCGUAAAGCGCACGUAGGCGGCUUGUUAAGUCAGGGGUGAAAUCCUGGAGCUCAACUCCAGAACUGCCUUUGAUACUGGCGAGCUUGAGUCCGGGAGAGGUGAGUGGAACUGCGAGUGUAGAGGUGAAAUUCGUAGAUAUUAGGAAGAACACCAGUGGCGAAGGCGGCUCACUGGCCCGGUACUGACGCUGAGGCGCGAAAGCGUGGGUAGCAAACAGG
rnacentral:rRNA from 1 species